rnacentral:misc_RNA from 1 species
AGUGUUGAAAGCAGACUUCCUCCACCGGUCCACGUCGUGGAAGUAAACAGAGCUGUCAAGUUGUUGUUUUCUGUCAGUUCUCCAGAAUUAUCGAAAAAGUGAAUUAAUUGUGAAGAGGUAUAUAAUUCGAAAUGGCGUCUAUCGGAGAUUUACAGAAAAAGAUUAAAGAACUCGAGCAGGAGUUGAAAGAAGAGCGGAGUAAAGGAGGGGCAAUUCGCACAAAAAUUUCCCAGAUGAGUUCUGAAGUGGUUGAUUCUAAUCCCUACAGUCGCUUGAUGGCAUUGAAACGUAUGGGGAUUGUGGAUAAUUAUGAGAAAAUCCGUGACUACACUGUAGCAGUGGUUGGAGUAGGUGGGGUCGGAAGUGUGACAGCAGAGAUGUUGACGAGAUGUGGAAUAGGAAAGCUGUUGCUGUUUGAUUAUGAUAAAGUGGAGUUGGCAAAUAUGAACAGACUCUUUUUUCAACCACAUCAAUCGGGCAUGAGCAAGGUAGAGGCUGCUGAGAGAACACUAAAAGAUAUAAAUCCUGAUGUAGAAUUUGAAGUUUACAACUACAACAUUAACUAUUCCAGGAAAGGGAAGCAUUGAAGCCAAAAGAAGUAGUGAAAGAAAAAGUUGAAGAGGCUAUAGUUCAUGAAGAUGAAUGGGGUAUAGAACUUGUGUCAGAGACCACAGAGGAGGAGCUUCAGCAAGCCCAGGGGGACGUGCCCACCCUAACCCAGGGGGUUACUGUAGCUUAUACAAAACCUGCUGCCACCAAGGAUGAUAAUUCAGCUGUAGUUGAGGACUCUGGUGAGAGCUUGGAAGAACUCAUGAAAAAGAUGCAGAGAAUAUGAAACAAGCCUAGUCAUAUGAUAACACUUUACUACACGUCUUGCUGGACAAGAUCUGGUACAUCUAUUGUGAACUGUGUGGCCAUUACAGUCUAGUCGUGCUUAUGUUCCUUGGGAUACAUGUUCAGUGUAGGCAUUACAUACAUGCAUACUGUUUUGUGACUGUAAAAGGUUGUGCAGACAGAUCUGAUGCAAUAUUUUUUCUUGGUGCAUGAUUGCAAGUACAGUAUUUAUUAUGCUUGUAUUUGUCAUUUAAAGAGUAAGAUACACUAGAAAUUUUGCUUGCAAAUUGAUCCCAUUUUGUUGUUUGCGAUUAUGAAUAAAAAUUACAUGUUCUUGAGUAAAACGUUAAGUACUCAGCAAUGUUCUAUAACUCUAAAUUAUCUGAAUUUUUUUUUUAUUCGCACCAUAAAUCUGCCUUUUAUACAGCUAAAUUGAAUAAGUCUUGAAGUGUUAAUAUAACAAACCAUUCAACGAACUACUUCGCCUAGUGGAUCCACAGAGACCUACUACCUAGAGGGAAAGGGUUUCGAACCACUGUUUGAACAGUACAACCUUUUCUUUCUAAUUUGAUCUUAUUUUGUAUAUGUUCAUAUUUAUUCCAUUAUAUUCAUCGUGGCCAAGAUUGCAAUAACUUCUUAAAAUGCAUGGAUAACAUAAAAAAAUUUCAUUUUAUUUUAUUUCGUUAAAUAUAAAGUUUGAAGGAUAAAUAACAUUUUUAGGAUGAAAAAAUACUUUAGGCUGAGAAUCGAAGAACCUUAAUUAUAUGUACAUGUAUAUAGAUAAAUGUAAAUUUGUCAGUAUUUGCAAUUAAAUUUAAAUAACAUU